CACUUUAGGGGGACUGCGGCAGCGAGGAGGGUGGGGAUGACGUCAAGUCUCAUGGUUUAUCCAGGGCUACACACGUGUUACAAUGGGAGUUACAGAGGGAAGUAAGCCGCGAGCCAUGCCAAUCCCAGAAAAACUUUCUCAGUUCGGAUCGCAGUCUGCAACUCGACUGCGUGAAGCUGGAUCGCUAGUAAUCGCGGAUCAGCACGCCGCGGUGAAUACGUUCCCGGGCCUUGUACACACCGCCCGUCACACCAUGGGAGCCGACAAGGGCAGAAGUCGCCGAGCUAACCCAGCACCUUUUUUGGGUAUGGAGCAUGAGAAUAUUAUUCAGAUAUUCGUGCCCAAAAAUGGUGCUGGGAGGCAGGCGCCCAAGCUGUUGUUGACGACUGGGGUGAAGUCGUAACAAGGUAGCCGUAGGAGAACCUGCGGCUGGAUCACCUCCUUUCUAAGGACGCCGGAGAUGCUUUAUGCUUAUCUCCGGAUAGUCAAAGUCGAAACAGACUCUCUUCUCUUCUCUCCCUUUUCUCCUGUAAAUGCUAAGUUAUGAAUUUAGAGCAACGAAAGAAUACAGUUCGUUACUGUGGACUCCUAAUUUCAAGAGGGGCCUGUAGCUCAGCUUGGUUAGAGCGCAUCCCUGAUAAGGAUGAGGCCGGUGGUUCAAGUCCACCCAGGCCCACCAGUUUCAGUGGGGGAUUAGCUCAGCUGGUAGAGCGCCUGCUUUGCAAGCAGGAGGUCAGCGGUUCGACCCCGCUAUCCUCCACCAAAUUAAGGUACAGUAAAAAAAGGUGGUGCAGCUUAAGCAGAAGAUAAGCUUCAGCAAUUAUUUAAUAAUUUCUGAAUUUUAUUUUUUAAUAUCUUAGACAAUUAAAUCGGAGGUUUUGGAGACACAAGAUCAAAUGUGAGGGUCUCCAAGGGUUGACGAUCUUGACUGUUAAAGUCAGGUAGUAAGGGCGCAGGGCGGAUGCCUUGGCUCUGGGAAGCGAAGAAGGACGUGGCCAGCUGCGAUAAGCCUCGGGAAGA
rnacentral:sRNA from 1 species